GUUGCACGUGUGGUGGGAGUGUUAAAGCUUGAUAUAUGUUGGUGGUCCACAACCUAAGGAUUAAGUUGAAUGAGUUGAAGAGUGGACGAGGUGAGCAGGAGGCUAGGAAUCUGGUGGGCCCAAAACAAAAGAAAGCCUAUGGACAAUACUUGAAUGUUGGUCCCAUUGUGCAGAAAGUCGUGGAGAGCAACUUGUAGGAGGCCUUUGAGUGAACAAAUAAACAGUAUAGGGCUUGGGAGGCAAUUGAAAUGGGGAGAAGGAAUCUGAUGGGCCCAUGUUGGAAGAAUAUCAUAUCGCAGAGUGGAAUAUGGAAUCAUGUCAUAGAUGAAUAGUGAAGUUCCUUUUUGGAAUGAAUAGUGAAGCACGAAUGUGAUCCCACAUUGACCAUGGAGUGAUGUUGAGAGGGUUUAUAAGGAUUAAGUUGAAUGCUGAAGUAAUUUGAGCUUCAUCUUAUAGCUCAGUUGUCGAAUUCUUAAUAGGUUAGCAAGCUACGACUCUUAACAUUUAUGUGGUGGGUUGUUACAAAUAUUUGUUGAAGAGAUCACAUUAUUUAAUGUGUCCAUUCUAUAAAAUCCAAUCACAGAUUUACC